rnacentral:lncRNA from 1 species
AUAUUUGCUUCCAUGAUAAUUGGCCCAGAACUUAGAUCCAUUUGUUGCUUACAAGAUCACUUUCUCAAUAUCUAUUUAUAAGUAUGAUGUACCGUAGGGGAGUAAUUUGUGGUUUUUGUGUGGGGAAGAAGGUGGGAUUUUGGCCAAAAAAAUUAGGUGCAGGGGCUGGUAUUUAAGUGUAGUAGUACGUUUUUCCAUUUGGUUUAUUUUGAGAUGUGUUAGGAGUGAGCAGGUCACACAACUAUAUA